UGCCAGCCGCCGCGGUAAGACGGAGGGUGCGAACGUUGUUCGGAAUCACUGGGCAUAAAGAGCACGUAGGUGGCCAGGUCAGUCCGUUGUGAAAGCCCCCGGCUCAACCGGGGAACUGCAUCGGAUACUGCCUGGCUCGAGGACGGCAGGGGUGAGUGGAACUCUAGGUGGAGCGGUGAAAUGCGUAGAUAUCUGGAGGAACACCGGUGGCGAAAGCGGCUCACUGGGCCGUCCCUGACACUGAGGUGCGAAAGCCAGGGGAGCAAACGGGAUUAGAUA
rnacentral:rRNA from 1 species